AUUGAACGCUGGCGGCAUGCCUUACACAUGCAAGUCGAACGGCAGCACGGGAGCAAUCCUGGUGGCGAGUGGCGAACGGGUGAGUAAUAUAUCGGAACGUGCCCAGUCGUGGGGAUAACGUAGCGAAAGCUACGCUAAUACCGCAUACGAUCUACGGAUGAAAGCGGGGGAUCGCAAGACCUCGCGCGAUUGGAGCGGCCGAUAUCAGAUUAGGUAGUUGGUGAGGUAAAAGCUCACCAAGCCGACGAUCUGUAGCUGGUUUGAGAGAACGACCAGCCACACUGGGACUGAGACACGGCCCAGACUCCUACGGGAGGCAGCAGUGGGGAAUUUUGGGACAAUGGGCGAAAGCCUGAUCCAGCAAUGCCGCGUGCAGGAAGAAGGCCUUCGGGUU
rnacentral:rRNA from 1 species